CUGAACUGUUCACAUUCUAGAUUUCAGAAUCGGAAUGAUUGUGUUAGUGAAAUAAGCUGCAUCACUUCCCAAUGAAAACUUCAAAGUCACUGUAACUGAGACCUGCUCUUCCACCCUGUUUCGUUUCUUCUCUGUAACUCCAUACACACAUGGUCAGAAUAGCGUGCUUAAUUUCCCUCUUUCGGAUACUCUCUCUGAUGAUUUGGCCCACUUUUUAACUGUUUGCAUGUUCCGUUCCAGGCCAACAGACAGAGGAAAAAAGAAAAUCCAAAAGGAACUAGAUUCUCUCGACAUUAUUAGACUUUUCACUUUUGUUAGGUGCAAACUGGAAUUUUGUGUAUGGACAUGAUGCUAUAGAUUUCUGGUGGGCAUCAGUAUAGCCAAUUCAUAUUUCAUGGGGCUGGUAUCUCACCCUUUCAAUUGCCAGGUGCUCUAUACAAAGGCAUAUAUUAAUUUUGAAAUAUCAAAGGGUGUGGUUGAAUGGAUCAGAGAGCUUGAUGAGAGACUUAUAGACAUAUUAAAGCAUUUGAAGGUCUGGAUAAGCCAUAAAAAGUUGGAGGUUACUUUUAACUUUGUGCCAAGAUAGAGUAAACCACUCAAAUUUCUUAUAUUGGUGUACUGUUUUAAGAGAUUUGAGCUUUUAUAGGACUUUGAACUUCUGUUAAUAUUCAUGUAUUACUUAAGGUUUUUUUUUGUAUGGAAACUUCCAUAUGGAUCUAACAUU